ACUGGCGGUGUAGUAUUGAGUUUUUACCCGGAGCGUCAAUCGAAGAGAGUGAGGUUAGGUGCGGACAACGAAGAUGGAAACAACAAUAGCAAUUCAAACAUGAACUGUAUAGUGCCGGGCUGCAUGAAUUGGCUCCAAAAAAAUCCCUUGGUAAACGACCAUAGGCUGCACUUUUGAAGAAGUUGCUCCAUGUCCUGAAGAGGAAGGACAUGCCAGCUCGAGCUAGCAGGAUCUACAGACAGCACUUCGCGGAGGCAGACUUCGCGAUGAAGGGCACUCUCAAUGCGGCAACCAGGAGUUUCCGAAUGGAAAGGAGUCAUGGGCCUAUUUAAUGCCCUCUGCGGGGGCCUCCAUUUGACAUUUAGAGGGUUAUGGUGUAGGGGUUACCGACCGACCAUCAUCACUGACUUCGGAGUCAAGCAAAAGUGACUGAACGGAGGAGGUGAUGAUGACAUCUUCAUCCCUGAAUGUUUUCAUCCUGGAGGCAGAGGAGGAAAGAACAGCAUGCCAAACUGACAACUUGGUGCCAGAGUGUUCAUGUGCUGCAGUGGAGAAGAGGUCCACCACUAAAGAGCUCAGGGCCCGGCUAGACUGCGCUCACGACCAUCAGUAUACAACAGAGUCCUGCCCCUAUAGCAACAUUUCACCAAUUAUUUAACUGGCAUAUCGGCUGCUGACUAACUUCUUCUGACAGGAAGUCCUUCAUAAGGAUUAGUGACACGUCCAAUACAUCGCCAUCCAGACAGACUGACAGGAACCUCUGACUGGAUGUAAUACGAGAACGAACUCUGAUCUGGGGCAAUGAUCGGCUCAAACAUGAAUGGCUUCAGUAGGUUUAUUGGCUCCCUAACUAACAUUAUUUCAUUCUCUGUAAUAAACUCAUUCUCAGAGCUACUUGGUAAAUUCAGCCAUUUUUGGGAGUUUCAAAAUCUUCUCUCCUGCCAGUGAUGCAACAAUGCCAAUAUGGGGAUUUACAGUUAGCUGGAGUUCUAAAUCCUUUUUCCAUUCUCCUUUAUGUUCUCUCACCUCAGUCCGUAGAGCAGCCACCCAUCUCCACCUUCUGCCCUCCAGGUGUUGUUGUGCUGGUCUGUUUUGUGGGUUUGUUCUGUCUGGAUUGUGUGGACUAGCUCUCUGAGCUCCACCAUGUAUCUCUCCAGCUCUGUGAACGUAUCCCUCUCAGUGAUGGAGGAGCAGUGCAGUUGUGGGACCAGGGUGUGUUCAGUGCUGGAGGGGUGACUAUCCUCAUCUGCAGGACAGUUUGAAGAGGUGUGAUCAGACAGGAUGGGGGUGGGUCACAGAGAAAGCUUUUCCUGCUGUACGCUCUCUUUGAUCCCGUAAAAGUCCUGCUGGAACUGCUUGAGGAUGCCCUGUAGCAUCUCUCACCAUUGAAUACAAGCGGAUGAAGUCAACAACCCUCAUCGAAUAUUUAAAAAACAGAUUACAAUAAUGAGACGUAUCCACCAAUCCAUAGAAAGGAUAGGUGGGAGCUAGGCAGACUACUGUGUCGCUUUGUGGACAACGACUCACAUUGUUAGGGCGGCAAGACAUGCAUCUUGUUAAUAUAUCCAUAAUCUUUGCCUGCGUACACCCUGAAGGGUUGCGUUGUCAUCAGUAUCUCU